ensembl:miRNA gmo-mir-10585 gmo-mir-10585
CUGAUGAAAUCUCUCUAUGUUCCUGCUGCCUCCCAUCACAGGAUAGGUCGAUUUCGUCAUAU